rnacentral:rRNA from 1 species
AGUAAACGGCGGCCGUAACUAUAACGGUCCUAAGGUAGCGAAAUUCCUUGUCGGGUAAGUUCCGACCCGCACGAAAGGCGUAAUGAUUUGGGCACUGUCUCGACAAUGCACCCGGUGAAAUUGAAAUACCAGUGAAGAUGCUGGUUACCUGCGCCAGGACGGAAAGACCCCAUGGAGCUUUACUCCAGUUUGAUACUGGGAUUCGGUACUGCAUGUACAGGAUAGGUGGGAGACGAAGAAGGAUGGACGCCAGUCUGUCCGGAGUCGCUGUUGGGAUACCACCCCUGUAGUACUGGGUUUCUAACCAGUUGCCAUAAACUGGCAAUGGGACAAUGUCAGGCGGGGAGUUUGACUGGGGCGGUCGCCUCCGAAAGGGUAUCGGAGGCGCUCAAAGGUUCCCUCAGAAUGGUUGGAAACCAUUCGAAGAGUGCAAAGGCAGAAGGGAGCUUGACUGCGACACCGACGGGUGGAGCAGGUACGAAAGUAGGACUUAGUGAUCCGGUGGUAUUAAGUGGGAAUGCCAUCGCUCAACGGAUAAAAGCUACCCUGGGGAUAACAGGCUUAUCACUCCCAAGAGUUCACAUCGACGGAGUGGUUUGGCACCUCGAUGUCGGCUCAUCGCAUCCUGGGGCUGAAGUAGGUCCCAAGGGUUGGGCUGUUCGCCCAUUAAAGCGGUACGCGAGCUGGGUUCAGAACGUCGUGAGACAGUUCGGUCCCUAUCCGGCGCAGGCGGAGGAUAUUUGAGAGGAGCUGUCCUUAGUACGAGAGGACCGGGAUGGACGGACCACUGGUGUAUCUGUUGGCUAUCAGAGCCAUGGCAGAGUAGCCAAGUCCGGCAGGGAUAAACGCUGAAGGCAUCUAAGCGUGAAGCCCCCCUCAAGAUGAGAUAUCCCAUAACAUAAGUUAGUAAGACCCCUUGAAGACGACGAGGUAGAUAGGCAGAAGGUGGAAGUGUGGUGACAUAUGGAGCUGAUCUGUACUAAUAGGUCGAGGGCUUAACCAA